rnacentral:lncRNA from 1 species
AAAAAGUGAAAAUUUUUUCUGAAGGUGUUUUGUCUCGACUGGCCACGGCGAUCUCUCCAUGCCACAAAACGAGGGCUCAGCAGUGUAGUUUUUAUUACUACACUUCCCAGGUUCCUUUGAGUUUGGAUCUUGCGCAAGAUGUUUUCAACGGCCUCUGGUGUCAUUCGAUUGUCUUGUCAUCGCAUAUGACUCAAAUGAAAAGGUUUUAACUCCGAACUCCGGAUGAGGUCACUGAGUGUACCCCUCUCUGCCAUGAAAGCAUAUCAAGUCAACAGCUCUCCGUUCUUCUACAGUUGAUGGGUCUACUGCUGGGACAACGAUGACAGACAGUGUCAGGACGUUUCUGCACAACGUUGCUACGUCAAAAUCAAAAAGGAAUGGCCCAGCUGGUAAGUUAUCCUCUUGUCUGUUGUGGAGUCUCUGUGGCAAGGUGAAUGAGGAUGAUACGGGCUGGUGGCGUGGUGUGGCGUGGCUGGAGGUCUUGGCGUUGAGAUGACUUGAGAGAUCAGUAGCAUGAGAUGAACCCAGGUUGGCACUUGGUGGAUGAGGUUUGUCCUACAGACAAGAAUGAUAACUUGAUUACCGUAAUUUCCGGACUAUAAGUCGGUACUUUUUUCCUGCGCUCACAGCCCUGCGACUUAUUCAGUGACGCGGCUAAUUUAUGGAUUUAAUUGGCGGCGCCAUGAAUGUACUUUCGGUCCCAGAGCAUGGGUUGAAUGCUUUAUCCAACUCCAAGCAUCCAGUCAUUUGUAUUUCAACACACCUCUUAGCAGCCAAACAGCAUGGACCUGACUUCAGGUCUUAGACACUUCAGUCAUGGUUCAACAAAAAGAAACAUGCAUGCCCAGAACCCUUUGUUGCUAUUAAACUCAACGUGCACGUGAUCGCCACUACAAUAUGAUGCAGCUUUCAAGUUAAAAGCAAUCGUUAAAAGAAGCGUGAAAAAAUCCACCAUCACGGGUUUGGAAAAGCCGGUCAACUGCGUGACGGAGAGAACAGCGCAUGCUCAGGAGUGAAUU